UGGGGAAUAUUGCACAAUGGGCGAAAGCCUGAUGCAGCGACGCCGCGUGAGGGAUGACGGCCUUCGGGUUGUAAACCUCUUUCAGCAGGGACGAAGCGCAAGUGACGGUACCUGCAGAAGAAGCACCGGCUAACUACGUGCCAGCAGCCGCGGUAAUACGUAGGGUGCAAGCGUUGUCCGGAAUUACUGGGCGUAAAGAGUUCGUAGGCGGUUUGUCGCGUCGUUUGUGAAAACCAGCAGCUCAACUGCUGGCUUGCAGGCGAUACGGGCAGACUUGAGUACUGCAGGGGAGACUGGAAUUCCUGGUGUAGCGGUGAAAUGCGCAGAUAUCAGGAGGAACACCGGUGGCGAAGGCGGGUCUCUGGGCAGUAACUGACGCUGAGGAACGAAAAGCGUGGGUAGCGAACAGGAUUAGAUACCCUGGUAGUCCACGCCGUAAACGGUGGGCGCUAGGUGUGGGUUCCUUCCACGGAAUCCGUGCCGUAGCUAACGCAUUAAGCGCCCCGCCUGGGGAGUACGGCCGCAAGGCUAAAACUUAAAGGAAUUGAC
rnacentral:rRNA from 1 species